ensembl:snRNA U1 U1 spliceosomal RNA
AUACUUACCUGGCAGGGAAGAUACCAUGAUCGUGAAGGUGGUUUUCCCAGAUGAGGCUCAUCCAUCACACUUCAGGGGUUUUCCCCAAAUGCUCUAGGCAUGGUUCUUAGUGCAGUUUUUAAUAAUAUCUUAAUGUUGGUUCAUUUUAAUAUCUUAACUAU